GCAUGAUCCAGCUGGAGGUGUAGCUGACCGAGGAGCCACCCAUGGGCAGAUGGACUAUCCACGCGAAGACAAAUGACGGUCCCGAAAGUAAGGGUUUCGUUGUAGAGGAGUAUGUGCUGCCUACAUUCGAGGUCAAGGUCAAGAACCCAACCUACGUGCCUGAGGGAGACAAAACCAUCACCGUCGACGUCUGCGCCAAGUACACCUUCGGUCAGCCGUUGAUUGGAGCCACCGUAACGAUGCCUGUCGCGGACGGUUCCAACCCAAACGAACGCGUCAAAGUCGGUGACACUCUCUCGACGGACGAGACAGGCUGCGCAUCGUCUGAUCUGAUUGUG